GAGACUGUUGGAGGUAUGCCCUAGAGGCAAUCAUAGAGAUGAUGAUAUUCCAUUUGUAUCCAUGAUUUAUGUUGUGUUCCUUGAAUAUCCAUUAAAGGCUACUUGAAUUGAUUUGCAAUUAUGUGAAUUGUGUGUGAAACUCUUUACUUGUAUGGUUAUUCUAAAGUUGUCCCUAGUCGGAGUUCAUGUGAGGACACACAUGAAUAUUAGACUAGCACAUGUAUUAGUUGAUGACUAUGUUUCACAAGUCAUGAACAUGGAGAUGUUGAACUAAUAAUGUGGUCACAUGUGGAGACAUGUGCUAGGACUGACCCAACACGAGAAGUAGUUCUCUCUUUAAACAACAUAUACGUUUUGUAUUUA
rnacentral:lncRNA from 1 species